AUUGAACGCUGGCGGCAGGCUUAACACAUGCAAGUCGAGCGGGGUGAUGGUGCUUGCACUAUCACUUAGCGGCGGACGGGUGAGUAAUGCUUAGGAAUCUGCCUAUUAGUGGGGGACAACAUCUCGAAAGGGAUGCUAAUACCGCAUACGUCCUACGGGAGAAAGCAGGGGAUCACUUGUGACCUUGCGCUAAUAGAUGAGCCUAAGUCGGAUUGGCUAGUUGGUGGGGUAAAGGCCUACCAAGGCGACGAUCUGUAGCGGGUCUGAGAGGAUGAUCCGCCACACUGGGACUGAGACACGGCCCAGACUCCUACGGGAGGCAGCAGUGGGGAAUAUUGGACAAUGGGGGGAACCCUGAUCCAGCCAUGCCGCGUGUGUGAAGAAGGCCUUAUGGUUGUAAAGCACUUUAAGCGAGGAGGAGGCUCUUUUGGUUAAUACCCAAGAUGAGUGGACGUUACUCGCAGAAUGAGCACCGGCUAACUCUGUGCCAGCCGCCGCCGUAA
rnacentral:rRNA from 1 species